UCUUCUAAGUGCGAUACUGGUGGAGACAGAUCUCUGGUGCCUCUUCAAGCCAAGCAGCCAAGUUCCAUACAAAGGACCAGAUUCCGCGGAGCCAGUUCACCCUAAAGGACCAGGAGACAACCCAUCAGUUCCAGACAGGACCAGGACCAUGCACACCGGGACCAACUCGCCACCUCCCGACCAGACAGGACCCAUCAUCAUUUCCGACGUCAACUCACUUCACAGCAGGACAAAACCGAAGUUUCGUGAGAGACACUGUGCAAGAACUGUGUGUAACGAACUGUUCUUCGUUUCCUAACAUUGUGACACUCCUUUGGGAUGAGGUCUCUGCAAGCGUGGUCACUACUGCUGACCAUACUGUAUAGUACGAUGGGUCAGGACCAUGACCGCCUCCACUAUGGGACCUUGUUUUCGGAAAGAGGGAAACUAACGGCUUUUGACGAAUCUUGGACACACACAUUCGCCCUAGAGUUACCAAAGCCAUACCUUCCUAACAGAUCGUAUGAGAUUCCAUCUUGUCUUAAACAGGAUGACACGGCAUGUAAAAAUACACACUUUCAUGUUAGCUCCAUCCUGACAUUCGUACGUAAUCUACACUCCCGCGCUAACUCAGACAUGGCAACCACAAUCAAAUUAAUU